rnacentral:rRNA from 1 species
UACGUAGGGUGCGAGCGUUGUCCGGAAUUAUUGGGCGUAAAGAGCUCGUAGGCGGUGUGUCACGUCGGCCGUGAAAACCUGGGGCUUAACUCUGGGCGUGCGGUCGAUACGGGCAUCACUAGAGUUCGGCAGGGGAGACUGGAAUUCCUGGUGUAGCGGUGAAAUGCGCAGAUAUCAGGAGGAACACCGGUGGCGAAGGCGGGUCUCUGGGCCGAAAUUGACGCUGAGGAGCGAAAGCGUGGGGAGCAAACAGG